rnacentral:lncRNA from 1 species
ACACACUUGACCUUCUCGAACACAACAUUUUUGCAUGUUCAAAUUAUUUGAACUUGCUGAGAUACUGGUAGUAUCUGAUGAGCCCCGCCGUUGCGAGCAGGGAGACGGGGGCAGCGGCAUGGAGAUGUCGGGGAACGCGACGGCGCCACAAAGCAACCAUGGUCGUCGGACUUGUGAAGCUGGAUCACUGCCUUUGAAACCAAAUCUCACAGAGUCAUUCUAGCACCUCGAGUCAACACCCUGAAGAAAAAAAAUGAUAUGGUAUCAUGCGUGUGCAGCAAACCAAUCGAGAAUUCAGAACAACAAAAGUAAAAUUCAUGUCGAUCCAUACCUCCAUCUGGCACCCUAGAUCCUGAGAUGACCAGUACUGAUCAUCGUUCAUUUAACUGGUCAUGUACCAAAAAUGCCCGAAAGCAAUUCCCAUGAGUACAGGUUAUAGAACUCGUAUGCCUCCUCAAGCGAGUCAAAUCGGGUAGAUAUGGUCGUCUGAAAAAAAUAUGUAUUUGUUGAUCUGCCU